rnacentral:lncRNA from 1 species
AGCUAGGGGCUGCAUGGUUUUGUGAGCUCCAUAGGUGAUGGAAUAGAUUUAUUCACAUGCAUGUUAGUCUGUUAGACUAACAAAUAGAUUUAUUCCUGCCAGAUUGCAUGUUAAUGGGAUCAACAAUAGAAAGGAAUGGCUAGAUUUAUUCCUCCCAGACCACCCUUUAUAUUCUUAAUUUGGUGAACUCUGUGCUCAAU